UGAAACCUUGAUAUUACUACAGGGCCUUUCAUAAGACCCAGUGACCAAUUUUUGCGGACCCUUGCUGGAGCAAGGGUA
rfam:Necator americanus N_americanus-1.0_Cont30.5, whole genome shotgun sequence.